rnacentral:misc_RNA from 1 species
ACACAUAAAACAAUUCGCAUGUAAAAAAAUGGAACAAAAAUCUAGAAUGUGGACUAGAGGCAAACAACAUGCAUGCAGUGAGGAAGCAUUCAGGUUCAGAGACCUGGCUAUUCUGGAGAGCUACACCUGAUCUUCCCAAAAUGAACUUGACUCCUUCCAAUUUGCAGGAAAUUAAUCAGUGAUGCUUAAAAGAAUUGGAGAGCACAGGGCAGCCCCCUAGUGACCAGCAUCACAUCCAGCCAAACACCCCACAAAAGAAUUCAAAGAAUGUGUCCUAGUUCAUAAACUGGCAAAACUCAUCCCACCUUCUUUACUGGGAUCUCCUCCUCAAGAGCUGAGAUACAUGGUAACCUUCAAAGAAAUCCAAGACAGCACUCUCCAAAUCCUCAACUGAAUACUUCAUAUAGUUCUCCGGGUGUUUUCCACUCUCUAUAUGACUCCUGUACCUCCCAAGAAAUGACCUGUAAGCUGGGAUCAACUU